AACAGGAUUAGAUACCCUGGUAGUCCACGCCGUAAACGAUGUCGACUUGGAGGCUGUUCCCUUGAGGAGUGGCUUCCGGAGCUAACGCGUUAAGUCGACCGCCUGGGGAGUACGGCCGCAAGGUUAAAACUCAAAUGAAUUGACGGGGGCCCGCACAUGCGGUGGAGCAUGUGGUUUAAUUCGAUGCAACGCGAAGAACCUUACCUACUCUUGACAUCCAGAGAAUUUAGCAGAGAUGCUUUAGUGCCUUCGGGAACUCUGAGACAGGUGCUGCAUGGCUGUCGUCAGCUCGUGUUGUGAAAUGUUGGGUUAAGUCCCGCAACGAGCGCAACCCUUAUCCUUUGUUGCCAGCACGUAAUGGUGGGAACUCAAAGGAGACUGCCGGUGAUAAACCGGAGGAAGGUGGGGAUGACGUCAAGUCAUCAUGGCCCUUACGAGUAGGGCUACACACGUGCUACAAUGGCGCAUACAAAGAGAAGCGACCUCGCGAGAGCAAGCGGACCUCAUAAAGUGCGUCGUAGUCCGGAUUGGAGUCUGCAACUCGACUCCAUAAAGUCGGAAUCGCUAGUAAUCGUAAAUCAGAAUGUUACGGUGAAUACGUUCCCGGGCCUUGUACACACCGCCCGUCACACCAUGGGAGUGGGUUGCAAAAGAAGUAGAUAGCUUAACCUUCGGGAGGGCGUUUACCACUUUGUGAUUCAUGACUGGGGUGAAGUCGUAACAAGGUAACCGUAGGGGAACCUGCGGCUGGAUCACCUCCUU
rnacentral:rRNA from 1 species